rnacentral:rRNA from 1 species
UACGGAGGGGGCGAGCGUUAUUCGGAAUUAUUGGGCGUAAAGGGCGCGUAGGCGGCUGAACAAGUCAAAGGUGAAAUCCCUCGGCUCAACUGAGGAACUGCCUUUGAAACUGUUCGGCUUGAGGCCGGGAGGGGGUAGCGGAAUUCCCAGUGUAGCGGUGAAAUGCGCAGAUAUCAGGAAGAACACCCGUGGCGAAGGCGGCUCUCUGGGCCACUACUGACGCUGAGAAGCGAAAGCAUGGGGAGCAAACAGG